rnacentral:rRNA from 1 species
UGAGGAAUAUUGGGCAAUGCCCGAAAGGGUGACCCAGCAACGCCGCGUGGAGGAUGAAGGUCGUAAGAUUGUAAACUCCUGUUAGAGGGGAAGAAUAACUAAGUUUGGAGCUUAGUAUGACUGUACCCUCAGAGAAAGCCCCGGCUAACUACGUGCCAGCAGCCGCGGUAAUACGAAGGGGGCUAGCGUUGUUCGGAAUUACUGGGCGUAAAGCGCGCGCAGGCGGGUCAUCAAGUCAGAGGUGAAAGCCCGGAGCUUAACUCCGGAAUAGCCUUUGAAACCGUUGAUCUUGAGUACGGGAGAGGUGAGUGGAAUUCCCAGUGUAGAGGUGAAAUUCGUAGAUAUUGGGAAGAACACCAGUGGCGAAGGCGGCUCACUGGCCCGUUACUGACGCUCAGGCGCGAUAGCGUGGGGAUCAAACA